rnacentral:rRNA from 1 species
UGCGCAGGCGGUGAGUUAAGUCUGAUGUGAAAGCCCCGGGCUCAACCUGGGAAUGGCAUUGGAAACUGGCUCGCUGGAGUGUGGCAGAGGGGGGUGGAAUUCCGCGUGUAGCAGUGAAAUGCGUAGAGAUGCGGAGGAACACCGAUGGCGAAGGCAGCCCCCUGGGCCAACACUGACGCUCAGGCACGAAAGCGUGGGGAGCAAACAGGAUUAGAUACCCUGGUAGUCCACGCCCUAAACGAUGGCAACUGGGUGUUGGGGAAGCGAUUCCUUGGUACCGUAGCUAACGCGUGAAGUUGCCCGCCUGGGGAGUACGGCCGCAAGGUUAAA